rnacentral:rRNA from 1 species
GUAGUUGACUCCGUCGCACGAGAACGACGCUGGCGGCAGGCUUAACACAUGCAAGUCGAACGCCCCGCAAGGGGAGUGGCAGACGGGUGAGUAACGCGUGGGAAUCUACCUAGUUCUACGGAACAACAGUUGGAAACGACUGCUAAUACCGUAUACGCCCUAUGGGGGAAAGAUUUAUCGGAAUUAGAUGAGCCCGCGUAAGAUUAGCUAGUUGGUGAGGUAAUGGCUCACCAAGGCGACGAUCUUUAGCUGGUCUGAGAGGAUGAUCAGCCACACUGGGACUGAGACACGGCCCAGACUCCUACGGGAGGCAGCAGUGGGGAAUAUUGGACAAUGGGCGCAAGCCUGAUCCAGCCAUGCCGCGUGAGUGAUGAAGGCCUUAGGGUUGUAAAGCUCUUUCAGUAGGGAAGAUAAUGACAGUACCUACAGAAGAAGCCCCGGCUAACUUCGUG